GAGAGAAAAGUCUAAAUUUUCUGGAUCCAAAUAAUGUAUUCUGACCAUCACUACAGUUCCUGAUGAAAAGUCCCUCUCUGGGUUUCUUCAGACACUGGAAGGUUGCUAUGAGGUCUCCACCCAACCUUCUCUUCUCCAGGGAUAAAAAUACUAGCAUAAAGCAUGUGGAAAAAUUCCUCUUCAAGUAAUGGAAAAGAAGAAAAAGAUCCCGCUUGGAAAAGCUCUGGAAAAUAUCAACCGCCAGUUGGAAGGAGCCCUACUGUUCUUCAGUACAUGUGGGACCCAGCAGACAGAAGUGAAGAAAGUUUUUUAUGUUGCUCUGCCAAGACUGGGUCAGUCAAUGAAGCAGGCAAAAUAUUUAAGAGGAUGGCAGGACUGACCUUCAACCAAUUGCUUAAGGUACUCUGCAGAGUCUGAUGUGCUCCACACUGCAUGAUUUGAUGGGAAGGAAGCCUACCUCUACAGGAGGGCAUUGAGAAAGUAAGAUAAAGCAGCACUCUGAAAGGAACAGCAGCAGGAUAUAUCUCAAAAUAUUAUCAAAGGACAACUGUUUUCUUAAAGGGCAGCACCCUCUAUUGCAGAGGUAAUAUAUUUGCAUUGCAACACUUUUAGAAGGUAUGUGAUUUUCAGUGUGGUGUCAUGGCAUUCAGACAAAAUGCCACACAAAAAAAGAAGUAUUUAUAACCUAUUGUAUGUUUUUAAAACCUGCCUGAAAGUGUGUCUGCCACUAUGAAGUACUUCAGCAAUUUAAAGAGAAGUUCUGCAGCUUUCUCACCCAAACAAAAAAAAAUACUUCUUUCCCCUUUAAAGGAAAGGACACAGAUAAGUAUUAGAAGUAAUGGCUGGAACUUUAACUAUAGAUGUUGCAUAGAGAAGACAUGGU